rnacentral:rRNA from 1 species
UGGGGAAUAUUGGACAAUGGGCGAAAGCCUGAACCAGCCAUGCCGCGUGUGUGAAGAAGGUCUUCGGAUUGUAAAGCACUUUAAGUUGGGAGGAAGGGCAGUAAGCGAAUACCUUGCUGUUUUGACGUUACCGACAGAAUAAGCACCGGCUAACUCUGUGCCAGCAGCCGCGGUAAUACAGAGGGUGCAAGCGUUAAUCGGAAUUACUGGGCGUAAAGCGCGCGUAGGUGGUUCGUUAAGUUGAAUGUGAAAGCCCCGGGCUCAACCUUGGAACUGCAUCCAAAACUGGCGAGCUAGAGUAGGGCAGGGGGUGGUGGAAUUUCCUGUGUAGCGGUGAAAUGCGUAGAUAUAGGAAGGAACACCAGUGGCGAAGGCGACCACCUGGGCUCAUACUGACACUGAGGUGCGAAAGCGUGGGGAGCAAACAGG